rnacentral:rRNA from 1 species
CCGGCGGACGGCUCAGUAACACGUCGGUAACCUACCCUCGGGAGGGGGAUAACCCCGGGAAACUGGGGCUAAUCCCCCAUAGGCCUGGGGUACUGGAAGGUCCCCAGGCCGAAAGGGAGCCGUAAGGCUCCGCCCGAGGAUGGGCCGGCGGCCGAUUAGGUAGUUGGUGGGGUAACGGCCCACCAAGCCGAAGAUCGGUACGGGCCGUGAGAGCGGGAGCCCGGAGAUGGACACUGAGACACGGGUCCAGGCCCUACGGGGCGCAGCAGGCGCGAAACCUCCGCAAUGCGGGAAACCGCGACGGGGGGACCCCCAGUGCCGUGCCUCUGGCACGGCUUUUCCGGAGUGUAAAAAGCUCCGGGAAUAAGGGCUGGGCAAGGCCGGUGGCAGCCGCCGCGGUAAUACCGGCGGCCCGAGUGGUGGCCACUAUUAUUGGGCCUAAAGCGGCCGUAGCCGGGCCCGUAAGUCCCUGGCGAAAUCCCACGGCUCAACCGUGGGGCUCGCUGGGGAUACUGCGGGCCUUGGGACCGGGAGAGGCCGGGGGUACCCCCGGGGUAGGGGUGAAAUCCUAUAAUCCCGGGGGGACCGCCAGUGGCGAAGGCGCCCGGCUGGAACGGGUCCGACGGUGAGGGCCGAAGGCCAGGGGAGCGAACCGGAUUAGAUACCCGGGUAGUCCUGGCUGUAAAGGAUGCGGGCUAGGUGUCGGGCGAGCUUCGAGCUCGCCCGGUGCCGUAGGGAAGCCGUUAAGCCCGCCGCCUGGGGAGUACGGCCGCAAGGCUGAAACUUAAAGGAAUUGGCGGGGGAGCACUACAAGGGGUGGAGCGUGCGGUUUAAUUGGAUUCAACGCCGGGAACCUCACCGGGGGCGACGGCAGGAUGAAGGCCAGGCUGAAGGUCUUGCCGGACGCGCCGAGAGGAGGUGCAUGGCCGCCGUCAGCUCGUACCGUGAGGCGUCCACUUAAGUGUGGUAACGAGCGAGACCCGCGCCCCCAGUUGCCAGUCCCUCCCGCUCGGGAGGGAGGCACUCUGGGGGGACUGCCGGCGAUAAGCCGGAGGAAGGGGCGGGCGACGGUAGGUCAGUAUGCCCCGAAACCCCCGGGCUACACGCGCGCUACAAUGGGCGGGACAAUGGGUGCCGACCCCGAAAGGGGGAGGUAAUCCCCUAAACCCGCCCUCAGUUCGGAUCGCGGGCUGCAACUCGCCCGCGUGAAGCUGGAAUCCCUAGUACCCGCGCGUCAUCAUCGCGCGGCGAAUACGUCCCUGCUCCUUGCACACACCGCCCGUCACUCCACCCGAGCGGGGCCUAGGUGAGGCCCGAUCUCCUUCGGGAGGUCGGGUCGAGCCUAGGCUCCGUGAGGGGGG